rnacentral:rRNA from 1 species
UACAGAGGGUGCGAGCGUUGUCCGGAAUCACUGGGCGUAAAGGGCGCGUAGGCGGCGGCAUAAGGCCGUGGUGAAAGUCUGGGGCUCAACCCCAGAUCGGCCGCGGCGACUGUGUCGCUAGGGCACCGUAGAGGCAGAUGGAAUUCCGGGUGUAGCGGUGGAAUGCGUAGAGAUCCGGAAGAACACCAGUGGCGAAGGCGACUUUCUGGGCUGUAACUGACGCUGAGGCGCGAAAGCGUGGGGAGCAAACAGG